GGAUGCGAUCAUACCAGCACUAACGCACCGGAUCCCAUCAGAACUCCGAAGCUAAGCGUGCUUGGGCGAGAGAAGUACUAGGAUGGGUGACCCCCGGGAAGUCCUUGUGUUACAUCCC
rnacentral:rRNA from 1 species